CGGGCGGAUCACCUGAGGUCGGGAGUUCGAGACCAGGCUGACCAACAUGGAGAAACCCCGUCUCUACUAAAAAUACAAAAUUAGCCGGGCGUGGUGGCACAUGCCUGUAAUCCUAGCUAUUCGGGAGGCUGAGGCAGGAGAAUCGCUUGAACGCAGGAGGCAGAGGUUGCAGUGAGCCGAGAUCUUACCAUUGCACUCCAGCCUGGGCAACAAGAGCCAAACUCUGUCUCAAAAAACAAAACAAAACAAAAACCAGCACCUUUUCUAACACCUGGGACUUUCCUAUGUGAAGAUAAGGCCAUUCUGCAUCCAUGGUGAUGUCACGACAUCUUCACACCCUCUUGUUAGGAAAAUUAGGCCAACGGAACACAAGAGACUAAUAUCACUUAUUCCUGUGAAUCAACCAGCGACCUCUGGCUCCUGUUCAAAAUAAACAAAAGGGAUUGGUAACACAAAGAUAUGGAUUGGCAUCCUACUUUUGGGUAUAAGAUGGAAUCACACAGAGAGUAAUUUAUUUGCUGAGUGGGCACAGACUUUAAUUUCUCUACAUAAUCGGACAAACUGUUGGGUAUGUGGAGAAUUGCCACUUUCCUCUACUUCUGGUUUGCCCUUGAAUAUUCAACUGGCCAACCUAAGUUUAUGGGGACUUUAUUAUGAUUGGGAAACUGAAUAUUGUAAACAUAGUCUCUCUUUUCCCUGGUACCAUAGCCACACAGGCCUUAGUCCUUUCCUCUCCUAUGGAGAGAAAAAAAGGCACUUUUUAAUGUAAUUAGGAAACAGCUAAACUCCACCCCAACUUUAGGUUAUACUGUACAUGAUGGACUUAGGCAGAUGACAGCUGUUCAAGUACUGGUAUCAGGCAAAGGACCUCUAUGUUUUGAAAGGUGCAAUAAUAGUCACCACCACACUGGAACACAUGAUAUAGGAUGGUUGCCGCCUCAAUAACAUAAUCAGACCCUUCUUUUAACAGACCAUAUUUGGUUGGGAUGGCAACAUAAUUCACCAAAAACGGGUGCCUACCCUUCCCCUUGGGGAUGGUUAUGGGCUUGCGGAACCCACGGCUGGCCAUACUUACCUUAUAAUUGGACUGGACAGUGGAUGUGGGGUCAUCCUUAUCUCCCAGGACACAUCCUCACCAAAUUGGACUCUCUCUCAUCUAACUGGGAAAUAGUAAAGGCUUGGCAUACGUGACAAAAAUGGGCAUUUUUGUGGUUCUACCUGUUGGCUAUAUUUUCCCCACAGGUGCCACGAUGGAUAUUGAGCUGCGAGUUGAAGCCCUAGCCAAGCACACGGCUGCAACUUUCAAUAAUACUUACCAUGCCUUACCUUCCUAACUUAGGAAACUUCUCAGAUUAGGCAGGUGACCUUACAAAAUUGUAUGGCUGUGGAAUUUUAACAGCAGCCUAAGGGGAAACUUGUGCUUUGAUCAAAACCGAAUGUUGUGUGUAUGUUCUGGACAGUUUACAUAAUAUUACCCAGCCUAUGAAAGCUUUAGACACUCAUAUCUCUGUCAUUGAUGCGCUGUCAGUCGACCCUGUAUCAACUUGGUUCCAAAAACUGCCCAGUUCUCGGCAAGCCUUCCUGUUUAGUUUACUUGGGAUGAUUUCAUUUAUUUUGCCUUGCUGCUGUGAAUACAUUGCUGUUGUACUUUUUGUGUAGGAAUGCAAGAUAAGCUUACUCAACGCUUUUUUAAAUUGAACACUUGUUAAUCUUCCAGAUAUCCCUUUUGCUGGGACUCAGAGUUACAAAUGACCCUCACCAUACUGACACUUUCUGACUGAGCUUCUCUCUACCCUGAAUAUAAGAGACCCUAACAGGUAGGUAGGAAUAUCAUUGCCCCUGUUCAGCAUGAAGUUACAGAAGAGGGAUCUUCAUUCUUCUGCAACCCUUAGGAUUACGGGUCCUCUUGUAAAAGGGAUGGGGAAAAUAUGUCAGAAGCAUUCGAACCAGAGUGACUCCAUCUUGAAUGUGCCUCCAUCUAGAAGAAUAAGGCUGGGACUUGCUGGGCUGGAUUCCCAGGAGGUUAGGUAUUCCUAGCCUGUAGAUGUUUCUGGUUAAGGGAACAGAUUAAAAAUGUUUACUAAACAGACCCAGGCCCAGGAAUGACUGAUAUCCUGACAUCCUGAGAACAAAGACAUUCCUAAUUUUGCUUUAAACAGAAUAAUACCAAUUCUUGCAAAAUAUAGUAAUUGAGAAAAUUAGUCCUUUAUCACAAGCCCUUGUAGUAGAGCACAUCUCCCUGUGAUUUGUUGUUGUUGUUGUUGUUGUUGUUAUCCUACAUAUAAACAAGCACUGUACUUAGGGUGAGUGCAUUCCUCCUCUUACUUUUGGGAAUGCCCUACUCUGUCUAUGGACUAUUUCACUCCUUCACUUUCUUAAUAAACUUACUUUCACUUUG